rnacentral:rRNA from 1 species
UGACAAGGGAACUCUGAGUGCCCGUUAAAUCGGGCUGUCCAUCGGUUUAAAUAACCGGUGAAGAAAGGGCCGGGCAAGACCGGUGCCAGCCGCCGCGGUAAUACCGGCGGCUCGAGUGGUGGCCACUAUUACUGGGCUUAAAGCGUUCGUAGCUGGUUUGUUAAGUCUCUGGGGAAAUCUUCCGGCUUAACCGGAAGGCGUCUCAGGGAUACUGGCAGACUAGGGACCGGGAGAGGUGAGAGGUACUCCAGGGGUAGGAGUGAAAUCCUGUAAUCCUUGGGGGACCACCUGUGGCGAAGGCGUCUCACCAGAACGGCUCCGACAGUGAGGGACGAAAGCUGGGGGAGCAAACCGGAUUAGAUACCCGGGUAGUCCCAGCUGUAAACGAUGCGCGUUAGGUGUAUCGGUGACCACGAGUCACCGAGGUGCCGAAGAGAAAUCGUGAAACGUGCCGCCUGGGAAGUACGGUCGCAAGGCUGAAACUUAAAGGAAUUGGCGGGGGAGCAC